GAUUGUUCUUAGUUUACUUGGACUUGAACGAGUUUCUGAUUCUCUCUGUGACCAAACUACAGGUAAAAAGAGGCACAAAGUGAAGUUCAGCUCAGGAUAAUUUUAGACUGCAGACUGUCCAGGUUAUCUCACCUGAGACCUGCACCUCUCAUAACUCCAAUUACCUGGAGAGGUCACAGGAGAGAGAGCUAAUGAGCUGCUGCUGCCUCUCAGGAACAAACUGUCCAUUUUACACCAAAUACUCAUCAAACUUUUGGGAGAGCAGCAGAUUAAACAGGACGAGCUACGUGUUUUUCCCGCUAAAAUCAGUUCGGGUACAGAAGUUCGUCGGCGGCUCAGCUCCGAGACGUGCCUGCUACAAACUGCACUUGAUGAUGAAUGGUGUGGAAAAGCAGCAGCAAGUCAACCUGCGCAGAGCCUGAGGACUUUCACCCCUCAGCCGUGACUAGCAGGCGGCCCCGCCUCUUCUGAACAUCUCAAACGAAGCAAAACGUGACGCUGCUGCCUCCACACUGAGCGGUCCAGAAGAGGUGAGCGCCUUGCAGUCAACACUCAGGGAGGAACCGCCGGCUGUCUCCAUGUGUGAAGGUUAGGGCGCCCCCUGCUGCUGCUGGCGGGUCAGCUCUCACUUCAGAUGUACAAGAGUACAUUUAGGCUGUACUGAAGCACAA